rnacentral:tRNA from 1 species
GACCGCGUAGCUCAGUUGGUAGAGCCUUGGGCUAGUAUUCCAAAGGUCGUAGGUUCGAUUCCCACCGUGGCCA